rnacentral:snoRNA from 1 species
UGCUCUGAUGACACCAAACAAACUUUUUUCUGGUACCUCUUAUGUUAGGGUCUCCGGAUCCAAUGAAUGUAAUGGACUUCUGAUU